AGGGCAUUUACGGAAAAUCACGUAUAAUAAAAUGCUAUCAAACUUUUAAACUACCUAACUUUUUUAUUUUAGCAAUUGACCAUAAAAGAUAACGUGGAAAGAAAAGGAAAGGAUGGGGGUUGGUCUUUAAGAUACAGUUUUAUAAUCGAAUUCUAGUGUCGUUUCGUUUCUACUUUGUAUUAUAAAUACAUUUACCAAUUAAUCCAUCCAAGUUAUUAAGCUUCGGCUGAGUGCUGCAGAAAUUAAUCGAUCAAGUAGAAGAAGGAUGCCUGGCAAGUCGUUUGCUGAGCAUUGUAAUGAAAAGAAUCCACAGAUGCCCGAUGAACCAUGGGAUCGUAAUGCACCCAUGCCGCCUGGUCGCUGGCAAUUGUGCUAAGUUGGUCAAACAGGGGACUUUCGCCGGUAUGCAAUGGAUCAAAGACAAGUAUCAGAAACCCACCCAAAAACGCUGAUUCUUAUAGUAUGUCAUCUUUUAAUUGGAUUUUCCUUGUAUCGUCUUAAAAGUCAACACCAUCGAUUUUAUGGGUUUAUUCCAUGGUUUCUUGUAUCAUGAUCCAAUUGUUUGUUGUACUUGUAUGUAUUAAAGAUAAAAAUAAAGUUAUUGUUUAUGUCGGA